rnacentral:miRNA from 1 species
UUUAACUAAAACAAAGCAUCGCGAAAGGCCCGCGGCGGGUGUUGACGCGAUGUGAUUUCUGCCCCAGUGCUCUGAAUGUCAAAGUGAAGAAAU